GACAGCAGCCGCCACGGGAAUACGAAGGGGGCUAGCGUUGCUCGGAAUGACUGGGCGUAAAGGACGCGUAGGCGGCGAUCAAAGUCAGGCGUGAAAUUCCUGGGCUCAACCUGGGGGCUGCGCUUGAUACUUGGUUGCUUGAGUGGGGAAGAGGGUCGUGGAAUUCCCAGUGUAGAGGUGAAAUUCGUAGAUAUUGGGAAGAACACCGGUGGCGAAGGCGGCGACCUGGUCCUUGACUGACGCUGAGGCGCGAAAGCGUGGGGAGCAAACAGGAUUAGAUACCCCCGUAGUCCCUGUCUCUUAUGC
rnacentral:rRNA from 1 species